rfam:Triticum aestivum genome assembly, contig: Triticum_aestivum_CS42_TGACv1_scaffold_129316_2BL
UUCCCAUGAUUAGGACAUUUUCUAAGCAAAUACUUAUAUCUCUCCCAAGCUGCAUACAAGCUCUCACUUCCAUCUUGUGCAAAACUAAGGAUCUGGUCACGAAUUGCA